ensembl:processed_transcript
AUAAGGUAAUAGGAAAACAAACAUGUCAAAGGAAUCAGAGAGUGAGUGCAUAACUUCGAAGCAAAGUCUUCUCUUGAAUGGUGACAUGCACUACAGUAUGUACUGAAUCAGUUCCAGGGAUGGUGAUAACUGACUUUAUACUAUGCUGCAAUUUAGAAGGGGGGCAUGAAACAGGAACCAAUGCAUGGUUAAUACAGAAUACUGGUUGCCUAGAGCUAAGAGCUCAGGCUGUAGACAACUGGAUCUUUGAAGAUUUAAUAGUUUCCUCAUUCUCUGUCAGUUGGUUCUUUCAGAAUGCCAAGCCUUAGCUCUGUUCUGCCUUAUACCUACAAUACUUAGCUAUGGAUUUUACAUUAAAGAAAUCCAGUUGGAUUUAAGCUAAUGGACAAUAAAGCAUUAGGGUUAGAGGUGCUGAUAUAUGCACAGCUAAACCAGGGCCUGCAAUGAAUUAGCAUUGAAAAUAGAUGUUUUUAUAGUGACACAAGCUGUAAGGCCACUAUGAUGUCCCCAGAAAGGAAAUGUUUAAAUUGUUAACACUUGCCUAGCACGUUGGAAUGUGAGAAACAGCAAGAGCAGAAAAAAAGAAAUGAAGCCAUGGCUCAAUGGUCAAUUUAGAGGUCACUUUUAGUACCAAAGGUAAAGUUCUUACUGAAUUGGGAGUUGAACUGCUGAUUUUUUUUCCUACAGGAAUAUACAAUCAAUUGUAAAAAAAAAAAAUCAUGAAUGAGACAGAAGGAUUGGCAUUAGAGCAGAUCUGAUGAUUUUUGAAAUGCAUGCCUCACCAAAGAAUGUACUAUUGUUCUGUCUAGACACAGUGACACAGUGUAAUAAAUAAAGACUGACAGCAUCGAUACGUUUCAUAAAUAUAUAACUGAAAUGUUCAUCAUUUCUAGCCAUUAAUAUUUUCUCAAUUACCUUAGGUAAAGCAGUGUGUCCAUCUUAGAAAAUAAAAUAUGCUGAAAAUACCAUUUGCUUCCAGACAAAGAAAUAAUGCCAUUUAUUUCUCAUUUCUCUGAACAUAUUCAUCUUCUUAAGUAAACCCUGGAAGUCUGAACCAGGAGCCAUAGAUAAUUCAUUAGCUUCAGUCCACAAGGCUAUUUUCUUAGAGACUUCUUGUACAUAUAAUAUCCUGCAAAGAUUUUAGAAGAUUGCUUCAAGGUUUUUUUGUUUGUUUGUUUUGUUUUGUUUUUCUUGUUCUUUUUCUUCCUUGAAAAAUAAAAUAAACUGUGAUGGAUAACUUGUAAAGCUAUCAGUCAGCAUGGAGCUGACCGUACUUCUUUCUAAACAGUUCCUUUGGAGGAUACGUAUAUUUUUUUGUUAAUGAAGCCAGAACCAGCAGUUGGAAGCUGAUCUGCGGUUGUACCUACAGGACCGUGUAUUUUUGGUUUUUUUUUUUUUUUCUUCUUCUUCUUCUUUUCAUACUCACAUUUCCCAGGGCCGUGAUGCAGUCAAGGAAACUAAAAAUAUAACAUUGGAGAACAAUUAUUCCCUGUCAGGAAAUCUAUAAAUAUUCUGGGAAAGCAAUAUGAGCUACAUAUCCUGUUCCACGGAAGAGGUGCGCAGAGUUCUAUUAUGUCCUGACUUGCAGUCCUGUGUGACACAGACAUGCUUCAAUAUCUUCUUAAAUUACUUUAAAAAAAAAAAAGAAAAAAAAGAAAAGAAAGAAAAAAGAAAAACUUGGAAAAGUGCAUAAUUUCUUUGGCUGGGAGAGUCACUAAACACAUGUGAAAAAUAGGACUUCCCUCAUCAUGUCCUGGUACCACGUCCUUUGGCUGUGCAUUUGCAAGUGCUUUUACUGAAUAGUUGAGAGCUGUGCCUGCCUCAUACCUAUGCAGUUUCUCCGCCCAAACCAUGGUCCUAUGAAAACAAACCAAAAUGAAACAGUCGUCUUCAGCAAGAUGGGCUCAAUCUCCACAUCUCCCUUGGGAAGGUUGUGAUGUCAGCUAGCACUGGAGUAUGAGGGUAAUGUGAAGUUGAUGCACCUCUGCACGGCUGUGGAUGUGGAUGUGAGCCAGUUUUCCCACUUCUACCAAAGGCCAACUGCUUGAAACCAUCUUGUCUCCCUUUUUGUAUGUAAUUACCAAUAAUAGUCCCUGCCACUUGAUGUCACCAAUAUUUCUCUCUAUAAGAAUAAUAUUAUAAGGUUCAUAUUCAUUACUUAAGAGUCUUGUGGAUAAAAAAUAAUUUGUUUCAAAUGAUGUUUGUUCUUGUUUUUGUCAUUUAAAAACUACUUUCCAAAUACCAAAUGUAAUUGCAUUGUCUGUUAUUUAAAUACUGUAGAUUAUAACUCUGAUGAGAUGUGUAUAAAUUAUGAAAAAAUAUUUUAUUGAUUCUAAAAUACAAAGCAAAGGACUCCAGCUGUUGAUUUCAAACUUGUGAAUUAAGACUGGGUUCACAAACGACAUCAUGAGAAUACAAGCAGGUUUCUUGUCUGUUCUCAUAAUGAAAUUUUUACUGAAUGCAGCCAUACCACACUUCCAAGUAGGAGAGGGGAUUCAUACUCCCCCCCCCCCUUACACCUGCAGGCAACCACUGAGCUCAACAAUACUCUCAUUGUACCUACAGGAUAUUGGUCCUGGAUUAGCAUUGAACUUGCAUAGGGAGAGUAACACAAAGGUUGCUCUACUCAGAAGCUUGGGAGAGCCCUGUAAGUCUGAAGAAAGAGACAGAAAACCUCUGAACUUGUCUGAAUAUGUCUCUGUGAAGAUGCAUCUCUUCUACAUAGACACUUCUCAAACACCAGACACCAGCCACAUGUGGCUCUUGGGCUUGGGAAUGUGAUUAGUGACACUAGAGAACUGAACUUCAAUUUAUAUUUCACUUUGAUUAUUUAAAUCCAAAUGACCACAUGGCUGGUGGUUAUUAUUUUAAGAGUGUGGUAUAAACUGUGUCAUUGCAGGUCUCACACCUAAUUCGUCAUUUGACUGUCAGACACCGGUUUCAGUACUGAGCAGCUUCACUGAAUGUUGUCACUGAAAGAGAUUCAAAGAGGUGUAGAAUCUUUCUUUGUGUUUUUAGCAGUGAGCACUGAUGAAUGGUACUUUCUUGUAACUAUAUUUCCUUUGCUCAGAAACUAGAGAAGCAGGUGCUGGCUUAGAAGAACUGAAAUGUUGGCAUACUGCACUGGAAACUAAGAACUCCCCCAUACCUUUCCUUAACAGUUCUUUUGCAAGAUACAAAUUUUAAUGAUUGAAUACCGAUUUUGGCAUUUAAAACUGCCAUUCAUUGUCACUGAGACACCACUUUCUCUUAAAUAAAAUUUUACAUGAUAAUUUAGGAUAAAGGCAGAAGCUUCAGGAGGGAUGUUAUUGGGUAGAAAUUUAAAUCCUUUCUUAUCUUAGCUCCUAUCUCAAUACUGGAGAUCAUUUCUAGCAAGUCUAGAGUUUACAUGGAGCUUGGUUCAAAGAUUUGUGUGUCUUUUCAAUGUAUAUCUAUCCCCUGGUAAAAUCAAAAUUGAUCAAAUAAGGGUAACUAUAAGACAUGACUGGUAUCUUAGUUAGAUUUUCUUAAUUGGGAUAAGACUUCAUGACAAAAUGCAAUUUGAAGAGAAAAGGGUUUCUUGUAGUUCACCAUUCAGGAAAGUCAGGACAGAAACUUAAGGCAGAAACCUGGAGGCGAGAUCUGAUGCAGAGGACCCUGGAGAAAUGCUGCCUACUGGCUUGCUCAGCCUGCUUUUUUUUAUUCCCGCAAGAUCACCUUCUUAAAUUAUGCCCUCUAACAUCAUUCAGUGUCUUAGGGUUUUACUGCUGUGAACAGAUGCCAUGACCAAGGCAACUCUUAUAAGGACAAUGUUUAAUUGUGGCUGGCUUACAUGUUCAGGAAUCCAGUACAUUAUCAUUGAGACAGGAACAUAGCACCACCCAGGCCAGCAAGGUGCAGGAGAAGUAGCUGAAAGUUCUACAUCUUCAUCUGAAGGCUGCUAGCAGAAUACUUGCUUCCAGAUGGCUAGAAUGAGGGUCUUAAAGCCAACACCCGGAGUAACACACCUAUUCCAAUAGAGCCUCACCUUCUAAUAAUGCCACUCCCUGGACCAAGCAUAUACAAACUAUCAAAAUCACCAAUCAAGAAAAUGCCCCCCACAGUCUUUCCCAAAGAAAGGUCUGCUGGGGUCAUUCUCUCAAUUGAGGUUUCUUCUUCCCAAAACACUAUAGAUUGUGUCAAGUUGUAUCUAUUAUCAAGAGUGACUAAACAAGGCAAUGAAGGGAGCUCAGGUUCCUCAUGUAGCAUUCACCAUGAAAUGUGCUUUGAAUUUUCAGCUAGAAUUUCAGCUAUGCUGGGAGCAUUCUCACUCAGAAUCCAUGCACAUGCAUCUGUUCACAUUAAACUAUCAUUCAAAAACAGGUAGUGCUUUUCUAUGAAAAAAAAAUCAUAGAAACUCAGAGUUAGUCCUUGCUGUCUGUGCAUCUUAUGGAAAUAUUUGCCUCCCAUCAUAUCACCUAAGGUUCACAACAAACUGAGGGGAAGGGCAAUCUCACAAACCACAGAUGGCAAAUACGGAAAACCUACCAUGUUGCCCAGGCUCAUUGUCAUGUGAUCCUCACUCUGCAUCAAAGCUCUCAGGAUUUGUACCAUUAGUGUUGGGCUGCAUAUGGUAAUAUUCAGCUUGAGGUCUUUAUUCCUAAGCCGCUUCUGAAGCCUUGUCUUGCAGCAUUUCACUGAACUUGUGGAUGCUGUGCCUGCCAUCCACAAGUGUCCUUCCCUUUUCUGGGUGUCAUCCGAUAUUAGCAUUUAAUACUUUUACACAUUCUAAUAACUUUCACCAUAUCCAACAAGAACAUGGACUUUAUUAGGAAGAGAUAUGUACUAUUUUUGUUCAUGGCUAUUAAAUAUUCAAAAUGUAUUGAAUGCAGGAAUACAAAAGUUCUUUUUUACUGUCUGUCAAUUUCAUUGAGGCCAAUGUCACUCAUCAGGAACUCGAGGCAUUGAUGUUUGACUUUGUUAAUUGGUUUGCCUUGUCCUAAAUAAACCCCUUAGGUGUAUCUAUUAGUAUCUGCUCUCUAUAUAUUAAAACUAGCUACACUAGACGUUCAUUGUUGUUGAAAACACUUUUUCUUAUUUGUGUUGUCUAUAGUCAAUCACAUGAAUUUCUCUUUUGUACUUGUAAACAUUUUGGGUUUUUUUUGUACCAAACUGAAAAGUUUACAGCACACCCAACAUUUCUUCUCAUUGAUAAAAUAUGUAUGAGUGAAUUCAGCUUGUUCUUAACUAAAGUUUGAAUUCUGUUCGGUGAGAGACAUUCUCAGAUCUCUAACUUAAUCAUUCAAACAACAGUCAGAUACUUUUAUAGGUCUUC